CCCGCACGUGGGGGAUGAAGGAAGCCAUAGGCAAACAUUUGAUGCGACGAACAGAAACCGGAUACGAGGCCUGUCUCUCUGGGUAAUUGGCCCAUAAACUAAGAUGCCCAAAAGUCAUUCGGAAGAGAGAGGGGUAAAUCCGGCGCAUCAAAAGGAAAGAGUUACUAC
rfam:Bacteroidetes bacterium 4484_276 ex4484_276_scaffold_8208, whole genome shotgun sequence.